AACGAACGCUGGCGGCAGGCUUAACACAUGCAAGUCGAGCGCCCCGCAAGGGGAGCGGCAGACGGGUGAGUAACGCGUGGGAAUCUACCUUUUGCUACGGAAUAACUCAGGGAAACUUGUGCUAAUACCGUAUGUGCCCUUCGGGGGAAAGAUUUAUCGGCAAAGGAUGAGCCCGCGUUGGAUUAGCUAGUUGGUGGGGUAAAGGCCUACCAAGGCGACGAUCCAUAGCUGGUCUGAGAGGAUGAUCAGCCACAUUGGGACUGAGACACGGCCCAAACUCCUACGGGAGGCAGCAGUGGGGAAUGUUGGACAAUGGGCGCAAGCCUGAUCCAGCCAUGCCGCGUGAGUGAUGAAGGCCUUAGGGUUGUAAAGCUCUUUCACCGGUGAAGAUAAUGACGGUAACCGGAGAAGAAGCCCCGGCUAACUUCGUGCCAGCCGCCGCCGUAAAAC
rnacentral:rRNA from 1 species